UUCCACUGUGGCACGUUCCAGUCAUCAAGAAGGAGGUGGAGGUCAACCAUGUCAACCAUGACAGAGACUCCGACCAGCCAACAAAGGCAGGCAGAAAAUCCAAGAGAAUUUCCGCAUUAAGCGAGAGCCAAAAACACACUCAGGACAAAAGCCCACCAGGAAGAACCCAACGUCCACCAGUAAAAAAUGACAUGAAACAUUUGCUCCAAGAGAUCAAACAGGAAUAUUCUGGCCCAGCAGUCAUCACAGGUCAAAGAAGAAGAGGGCAAAGUUUAACAGGAAAAGAGCCAAAAAAUGUUACGAAGUGCAAAGUGUCAC